GCUUCCUUAGCUCAGUCGGUAGAGCGCGAGUCUCAUAGCUGAGUGGUGAUGCACCGUUCAAUCUCGAGGUCGCAAGUUCGAGCCUUGCAGGGAGCA
rfam:Gymnopus luxurians FD-317 M1 unplaced genomic scaffold GYMLTscaffold_27, whole genome shotgun sequence.